rnacentral:snRNA from 1 species
AUUACUUCUUGGCCUUUUGGCUAAGAUCAAGUGUAAUAUCUGUUUUAUCAGUCUAGUAUGAGAGCUGAAAUAAGAAGGCAGAGGGGUGCUUUGUUCAACCUCAGUUGGGAAUGAGCUCAUGGGAUAACUCAUAUUUUUUGUGGCUCUGUACAUGUCCAUGAAUGACUCCAAAAGUGCCCAGAGUACUGAUUUUGUGAUUACAAAUACAUUUUAGUGAGUAGGU